GCCCCGAUGGCUUAGUGGUACAGCGUGUCACUAGUAUUCACUUGCUAUGACAAGAUCGUCAGUUCGAUUCUGGCUCGGGGCA
rnacentral:tRNA from 1 species